rnacentral:rRNA from 1 species
UACGUAGGGGGCGAGCGUUGUCCGGAAUCACUGGGCGUAAAGGGCGCGUAGGCGGCUUGAUAAGGUUGCGGUGAAAGCCCGGGGCUCAACCCCGGGUCGGCCGUGGCAACUGUCGAGCUGGAGCACUGUAGAGGCAGGUGGAAUUCCGGGUGUAGCGGUGGAAUGCGUAGAGAUCCGGAAGAACACCGGUGGCGAAGGCGGCCUGCUGGGCAGUGGCUGACGCUGAGGCGCGACAGCGUGGGGAGCAAACAGG